rnacentral:rRNA from 1 species
GGUGAGUAACGCGUAGGAAUCUACCUAGUAGUGGGGGACAACUCGGGGAAACUCGAGCUAAUACCGCAUACGCUCUUAGGAGGAAAGUGGGGGAUCUUCGAACCUCACGCUAUUAGAGGAGCCUGCGUUAGAUUAGCUAGUUGGUGAGGUAAAGGCUCACCAAGGCGACGAUCUAUAGCUGGUCUGAGAGGACGAUCAGCCACACUGGAACUGAGACACGGUCCAGACUUCUACGGAAGGCAGCAGUCAGGAAUAUUGGGCAAUGGGCGAAAGCCUGACCCAGCGAUGCCGCGUGUGUGAAGAAGGCCCUAGGGUUGUAAAGCACUUUCAGUCGUGAAGAAAAGCGUUGGGUUAAUACCCCAGCGUACUGACGUUAACGACAGAAGAAGUACCGGCUAACUCCGUGCCAGCAGCCGCGGUAAUACGGAGGGUACGAACGUUAAUCGGAAUUACUGGGCGUAAAGCGCACGUAGGCGGACUUUUAAGUCAGAUGUGAAAUCCCGGGGCUCAACCUCGGAACUGCAUUUGAAACUGGAAGUCUGGAGUUCAGGAGAGGUUAGCGGAAUACCGAGUGUAGAGGUGAAAUUCGUAGAUAUUCGGUGGAACACCAGUGGCGAAGGCGGCUAACUGGACUGAUACUGACGCUGAGGUGCGAAAGUGUGGGGAGCAAACAGGAUUAGAUACCCUGGUAGUCCACACCGUAAACGAUGACAGCUAGUUGUUGGCAGGC